GCCGAGGUAACUCAGUUGGUAGAGUGUUGGAUUGAAAAUCCAAUGGUCGCGGGUUCGAGUCCCGCCCGAGGCG